CAGAAAAGGGAGACAGGGCCAACAGGGCAGCAGGGGAGCAGCGGAGAGAGACUGGGUGUGUGGUGCCAGCAACAAGGGAGAGGGACCCCCACCGCCCUGUACCUCUUUGGUGAUGUAGCCGUCCUUGUUGAUGUCGUAGAGAUUAAAGGCCCACUUGAGCUUCUCAUGGACUGUUCCUCGCAGAAGGAUGGAGAGGCCGACCACAAAGUCCUACGGAGGGAAGGGAGGGUGCAGAGUGACAGCCCCAUGCCCAGUCUUCAUUUCCACUUUGCCGUGUGGCCUCACACCCCUGUAGACCCAGGCCUGCCUGCCGCCUCACAGCCCUCAGAGUCAGUCACACCCAUCUGAGGAAUGUCUCCAUUCUGUGUCCCUAAGUGUGCAGAAUAUACAACAAGGACUGGGGUCAUUAUAAAUAUCCAGAAGCGGACCUGACUUUCUGUUUUAGGGGCACAAGAGAAGACUCCAUCUCAGGUGGGCCAAGGGCCACCCCCACCCCUCAGAGUCCUUCCUGCCACAUGGACCCCAACCCAUGGGGCACCCAGGAUUAGGCCCUGCUGACUGGAAGAUCCCCAAGGACACACAUCCCCUCCUCUCUUUCUGAAAAGGCUUUCCUAGAACAGAAUGCUGAAAUCAAGAUGGUCCUCAAGAUAAACAUGCACAUUAUGGAACCAGAGGAGCUGACCUCACGGCAAAGAAACCCACAGAAGCCCUUGGAAGGUCCUGGAUGAUGCCGGAAAUGCCUGACCUUCUAAGAAGGCGCCUGGCAGAGGGUCUUCGGUACCAGUGCCCCCAACUCAGCCACUGACAGCACAUCCCACAAAGACCUACCAUCUACUGCCUGAAAGGGACCACCA